AUGUUGUGAUGAGCACACUUUCUCAACAGUUCUGUAAACCUCUCCCAUGCGUCAUAUAAUGAUUCCCCAUUAUUCUGGAAUAAGUUAUUAAUCUCUCCUCUCAACCU